rnacentral:sRNA from 1 species
CCUCGUCCAUCUGUUGCAUGGAGAUGAAGUGGAUGUGAGUGUCAAAGCCUCCGGCCGUGAUGAUUUUGCCUUCACCGGCAAUCACGUCCGUGGAUGAACCAACCACGAGGUCCGGGUGAACACCAUCCAUAACAUCCGGGUUGCCAGCUUUGCCGAUGCCAACGAUGUUGCCAUCCCUGAUGCCAAUAUCAGCCUUGUAGAUUCCCGUCCAGUCGAUGAUGAGUGCAUUGGUGAUCACGGUGUCUACACAUUCAGAUGCGAUUCUGCCCGAGGCCUGUCCCAUCCCUUCACGCAAGG